rnacentral:rRNA from 1 species
UACGGGGGGGGUAAGCGUUGUUCGGAAUUACUGGGCGUAAAGAGCGCGCAGGCGGUCGUGCAAGUCGCGUGUGAAAGCCCCCGGCUCAACUGGGGAGGGUCACGCGAUACUGCUCGACUUGAAGGCAGGAGAGGGAAGUGGAAUUCCCGGUGUAGUGGUGAAAUGCGUAGAUAUCGGGAGGAACACCAGUGGCGAAGGCGACUUCCUGGCCUGUUCUUGACGCUGAGGCGCGAAAGCUAGGGUAGCAAACGGG